AAUAAAUAUCAGAGGCUUUGUCCAAGUCUUUAAUUUUGGCCCAAUGUGUGUUUGAGUUUUAAAUCCCUGGUUUAGUCUGUAUAAAAUUAAAAAGAAAAAAAACUGCUACAUGUGCUGAAAAACGUCUUGAACUUCAACUGUUUUAACUUUCAGUGCUUCUUCAAUUUAUUUAUUCGGGAAUUUUCUGUACCGCUUCUUUCAUAGUGGGUCACGGGGUGACUGGUGCCUAUCUCCAGCAGUCUACAGAAGGAAUCCGGAGUACCCAGAAAGAACCCACACAUGCACAGGGAGAACAUGCAAACUCCAUGCAGAAAGACCCCCGACCAGGAGUCGAACCCAGGACCUUGUUGCUGCAAGUCAACGGUGCUACCAACUGCGAAGGCCUCAAAUGUAUUUACUUUUACCCAAAUUAGUUAAAUUUUGAUUAGUUUUCAUGAGUUAAAACACAUGAACAAACUUUACAAACAAACAAACUUUAUCUUUUUGUUAUUAUAUUUUUCAGUUCCUAAUUAAUUGUUCAAAAUGCUGUAACAUUUGAAUCAUUUAAGUGUUAAGAAUUCAGCACCCUGCAGAUUUCUGUUUUACAGUGAAUCGUGACCAUCACAGGCAUUGAUUCUUCUGCUGCUUUGAAUAGAGUGAAGUUUUAUUUAAAACAGGCUGCUGUGAUAGGAGGCUGUGUUAAUGACAGGAUAUGGGUAGUCUGAAACACUUCCUGUUGUUAGGAUAUUUGCAUGGCCUGCUGGAGUUUUUAACCUGCAUUUUAACCUGAAUUUGAUCUGGUGAAAGAAUAGAAACAUUUUGCAUAAAAUGAACAAACUGAAAGCCAUGGUAUUCUCGCAUUCCCUGUCAGAAAUUUCUACAUUUAUUACCACUGUGCCUGGGGUAAACAAAUUGAGUUUGUUGCUACUUAUAAAUAACUAGGCUUUAUAUUGGAUAAAAAGCUCUCUUUUAAAAUGCACAUUGCAAAUUUGGUAAAAAAACAAAAAAACAGCUGAGGGUGAAGAUUGGGAUUAAUUACCGAAAUGGAUCUUGUUUCUCUCUCAGAGCAAGAUAAAAAUGUGUCUCAGCUAGCUUUUUGCCUCUGCUUGAUUAUGGAGAUGUUCUGUAUAUGAACGCCUCGACCAAACGUCUUCCGUCUCUGAAUCCUGCUUAUCACUGUGCCUUGAGGUUUGUAACCGGCUGCAGAUGUCUCACGCAUCACUGUGAGCGCUACACCAAAGCUGGCUGGCCUCCUCUGAGUGUACAGAGAUGCAAUCAUUUGAUUUAUAAAACUCUGCUUGGCCUGGCUCCUUCAUACUUAAAUGCACUGCUACAAAAAUCUACUACUGGCUAACCUCUUUCCUUCAAUGUCAUUUUCCCUUUGUUUGUUCCACGUGUUCAAACAGGAAAAGGGAAACCGGCAUUUAGUGUUACGGCUCCCAUAACAUGGAAUCAUCACCAGUUUGAGCUCAAGAUAGUAGAUCUGAUUUAUUUCAAACCAUUCUUAGAAAUAAGCAAUAAUCUAUUAAUCAGUGUGGAUGUUUUUAAUUAUUGUAUAUAUUUUGAUCAUAUUAUCUUUUAAAAUGUGUUUAACUGUGUAACGUUUUUGAUGUGUGCUGCAGACUUUCUGCCCAGGUCCCCGUUGCAAAUGAGAUCUUGACCUCAACAGGGUUUUCAUCUAGUUAAAUGAAGGAAAGGAAAUGAAAUGUGGCGACAUUAAUCUGUUUUUAUCUUUUAGGAAGUUUACGGUUGAUUUUGAACAUCUGCUGAUCAUAUUUCCUGUAUAAAUUCACCCCUUUUAGAGAAAUAUGAAAGUUUGUGGGAUCCUGACUUACCUCAGAAUGCUGCCUGCAUCUCGUCCUGCUUCUUAUUAAAACCUUCAGGUGGAAACUCCGAA